rnacentral:sRNA from 1 species
UGCAGGGUGGCUCAGAGGCAGUGCCAGGCUGUACUCCAGGGCAGCUGACUCCCACAGCUGAUGACUCCCCACCUGUGCCUCCAGCAUCCAGAUGGUCCACCACUGCACCAUCCACGGGAACACAGAGGAGCUGCGGCAGAUGGCGGCCAGCCGCGAGGUGCCCCGGCCACUCUCCACCCUGCCCAUGUUCAAUGUGCGCACGGGCGAGCGGCUGCCUCCCCGCGUGGACAGCGCCCAGGUGCCCCUCAUUCUGGACCAGCACUGAGGGCCCAGCCAGUGGUUCCUGGUCCAGCCCUGACUUCAUCCUCCCUUCUCUGUCCACACCAUGAGCGGCACAUCCCACCUGCUGAUUCCAGCUCCUGGCCCGCCUGGAACCCAGGCUCUAAACAAGCAGGGAGAGGGGGUGGGGUGGGGUGAGAGUGUGUGGAGUAAGGACAUUCAGAAUAAAUACCUGCUGCUCUGCUCACCUGUUGCUGCUGGCAGCCUCUCCCGUC